CGUGCUUAUACAUUCAGUCUGAACUCAUUGAACCCAUGUCCUGCGCGCGCAUGAAAAAUGUGCCAGGCUUGCAGCAUCCCGCGGACGUCAUGGCAACGUGUAGCUCUCAGUCAGACUUGCGUCUGCGCGCGUGCGCUUGUGUGUGAACGCGCGCGGAAAGCCGUCUGAUGUCGUCUUAUCCGUAGUAAGAGAGAGAGAGAGAGAGGAGGGGGUGCGGUGCGGUGCGGUGCGGCAGAGAGGCAUCAGAGGAGCCCGGCGGGGAUGUUGCGACUGAGCUCCCGGUGAGGCUGAUGAUCGCACUACGAUGCAGUGACGAGGAGAAGCAGGAGACACGCGCCGCGAGAGAGGAGCAGCAGCACGCGAAUGCGCACCGUGCGAUGAUCGGCUGGUCGUAGACCAUGGCGCCGUCGGGUCCACGGAGCAUCAAGCGGGGCUGUCAGAGAGUCCUCUACUGGAUCCCGGUCCUGUUCAUCGCCCUCAUAGUGGCGUGGUCGUACUACGCCUAUGUCUUGCAGCUUUGCAUAGAAUCCAUCGAGGACACAGGAGAAAAGGUCGUCUACCUGCUGGCCUACCACGCCAUCUUCAUCAUGUUCGUGUGGGCGUACUGGCAGACCAUCUUCACCAAACCCAUGAACCCCCUGAAGGAGUUCCAGCUGUCCCACUCUGACAAGGAGCUGCUGGAGCGCGAAGAUCGCGGCGAGUCCCAGCAGGAGAUCCUGAGGAGAAUAGCCAAGGACCUGCCCAUCUACACGCGCACCAACUCCGGAGCGAUUCGUUUCUGUGACCGCUGCCAGCUGCUGAAGCCUGAUCGAUGCCACCAUUGUUCAGUCUGCGAUAAAUGCAUCCUGAAGAUGGAUCACCACUGCCCCUGGGUGAACAACUGCGUGGGAUUCUCCAACUACAAGUUCUUCAUGCUGUUUCUGGCCUACUCUCUACUUUACUGCCUUUUUAUCACAGCCACAGAUCUGCAGUACUUCAUCAAGUUCUGGACGGCCGGAGGUAGAGCACAUUUCCGUCUGAGAGAGUACCUGAAAGGCCUCCCGGACACCCAGGCGAAGUUCCACAUCCUCUUCCUCUUCUUCUCGGCCUCCAUGUUUUCCGUCAGCCUGGCUUCCCUCUUCAUUUAUCACUGCUGGCUCGUCUGCAAGAACAGAUCCACGUUGGAGGCAGUGCGUGCUCCCGUGUUUCGUCACGGCACGGACAAGAACGGCUUCAGCCUUGGUUUCACCAAGAACUUCCUCCAGGUGUUUGGGGACGAGGCCAAAUACUGGCCUGUUCCCGUUUUCUCCAGUCUAGGUGACGGAUGCUCAUUCCCGACCUGCCUGGUGAAUCUGGACCCUGAACAGCCGUCGUCGCCCUCUGGAUCCAGCUCAGCCAGCAAGAGCAGAAGGCCGCCAGUUCCCGUCCAAACCGCUCCGAGACAGCCAGAGUCGACUGCUCACCAGCACCCCCUCCUGGUCAGAGAGUGAAGGUGCAGGAGACAAGGACAAGAAGGGUGCCAGUAACCCAGUGAUGACCAUUGAGAACGAGGCGUAACCAGGAUCACACACGACCAGAAAUGUCAAUGCUGCCCUCCUCCGUGUUUGUGCCUAUCAGAACUCUGCUUGAUUGGCGUCGACGUCCUCUUGACGUCUGCCGUCACGCAACGCGACUCGACCGACGAGCAGUCGGGGAUUCACCGCUGCCGUCAGAAAGUCAAGUGGACGGGAAAAAUAUAAAUGGAAAAAAAAACCGGAUUGCAUUCCAGUCGUCUGAUCUUCUUUGGAUGUAAAUAAGCACAGAGGCGCAGUGGAGAGACGACCGCGUCUUGUUUUCUAACUCAGUCGGCUGCUUCUUUCUUUUCUGUUGCGUUCAAGGACCACCUGCUGCUGCUGCUGAUUCUUUGGCGCAUCAAGGACAAAAAAAAAAAGAAUAAUUUGCUGAGCGACGUUGACGCUCCUUCUGACACUCCUUUCUCUUGUGAAAUGCUUGUUCUUUUGGUUUCCACGUGCAUCGUGGUGAGUGUUGUGAACGUGAAAGAGUCGCAUGCUCUCAUCUCAGGACGCAAACAUGAUGGUAACGACGUAAAAAAAAGAAGACUAAACGGUAGUAAUUAGUAAUUCAAUUGUUAUUAUUAUUUUUAUUUAAAAAAGGGCUCUUCUGACUCUGAGUGGCCUGAGUGAGGAUAUCACUGACACAUCAUGUCUAUCCGCUUCCCGACUGUUUCCCUUCCUGGACGGAGUUUCUGCAGCUGGAGACGAGCAGAGACCAUCCAGUGUUUGGCUGUAUUAUUGAAAAAAAAAAAAAAAAAAACAUGUCUUGUACAGUCAGUCACUUUAGGCUGGAAAUGACUACGUCAUUUAACUGUAACUCAAUAGUACUUUCCAGAAUGUACACUUUGAAAAGCUUCGUUGUGACAUAUAUUUUUCUAUCUUUCUGUCUGUGGAUGUGUGAGGAAGGCGAUGGAACAGUUGAGAUGCCUUAUGGGAAUAAAAUGAGCUCAUCCUCUGCG